rnacentral:lncRNA from 1 species
UUUUUUUACGGUUUAUAGACCUUAAAACCAUGCUAAAGCGUCUAAACAUCCACACUGAACUGAAUUGAACGACUGAAUGGUUUUAGUAAUAGGAAGAAAAUACUGCCAACUUAGUAUUGAGGGGUGGCAAUAUCAGACACGACCCGAAACCCGACACGAACCCGACCCAACCCGAAACCUGAUUUACUGAGACAGAAACCCGAAAGUGACCCGAAAAUCACCCGACAGACCCGAAAUGGACCCGAAAUGACCCGAAGUUAGAAUUUCAUUUGUAAUAACUUCAAUUUUUGGUUUUAUUCAAUUUUAAGUGAUUUUAGGUUGACCCGAAAUCGACCCGAUUGCUGACACGAACACGACCCGUUACCCGAAAUUGCCACCCAAAAAAAUAUAUAUACUUUAGUGAACAAGGUAAAAACAUCUACCAAUUAUUACAUGAUUAAAAAAUUUCUCGCGUCAGCAACACUGCCAAGGUAAGCCAAUGCUGAUAUAAAUCAGGAAAGAAAGAAAAGAAGACAUCUUAAAAUAUACCAAAAAAUUCAUGUAUAAGUUGAGGGACUAAAGUUUUAUUCAUGUACAUAAUUGCUGAAUAUUUUUGCAUAUUUACUGUAACAUAACCAAUCAUAGGAUUUUAAGAUGACAGAACAGGAAAAUAAUGACGGGAUCUUCACAUAUAGCUCCCAGACGAAUUUUGAAAUUUUUUUUUUUUUUUUUUUUGACAGAAAUGCACUUGCUCGUAUCGAGAAAACGCCGCUACUCCGAGGAGUUUCUUUCAUUCAAAAAGCUUAUUAUCUAACCGAAUUUUGAAAUUUUUUUGAUUAAACAACAAUCUGUCAUUUUCAAAUCGUAAAACGUUUCGAACUAGCACGAGUUAUUAUGCUCGUUAUCUUUAAGAAGUGAAUAUUGAACAAAAGGACCUAUUAUGGCUCCCCGAGACUUUUCAUCUUUGAGUCUCUCUGAUUCUCCGGCACUGCGACGUCUUCGUUUUUAAAUAGGCUCUUUAUGUAGUCAUUCAGAUCCGGAACUUCUAUCCAUUCAUCCCCGUCGAUCCUUACAUAUCCAUUUCCUGUAUGUGUAUUGAAGCAAGUGAAAUUCUCUACCCCAGGACACCCAACCAGACUAAAAUUCUUUAAUUGGAGCAUAUUGAAAGCCAUGCUUUCAUCACCACUAAAACUUUUGAGGUUUGGCAGAUGUUCAAGUUCAAUAUUCUCGAGUUGAGGAAUAGUGAUAGUCUUGUCAUUUGUGCCGGAAGUUUCAUCACCCCUUGCAUCUUCCACAACCACUUCUAACAAUUUGCAAUUUGAUACUUCCAAACGAAAGAGAUUUUGGAGAUCUCUGAAAACAGAACACGUGAAGAGAGUAGAGAAUCCGCAGUUAUCAACUUUUAUUUCCCACAAAGCUGGCAUAUAGAAGUCGUAAUUUGCACCGUGGAUGAAACUUUUGAGGUCUGGCAAAUUUCUGAGUUCAAGUAACCAUAGUUUUGGGAGGGAGAUAAUAAUCUCUUCACUCGUACCAGAAGUUUCAUCUCCCCUUGCAUAUUCAAAGAUGCCUUCCAACAUUCUGCAAUCCCGUACUAGUAAGUUUUCAAGCCUUUGUAGACUUCCAAAGGUUGUUGAGCACGUGAAAAGAGAAGAGAGCCCACAAUCACUCACUGUAACCAUGGAUAAAUUUGGCAGAAGUAGGCACUCAUGAUUUGCACUGUAGAUAAAACUCUUGAGCUUUGGUAGAUCUUCAAGAAUAACUUGUUUCAGUUGAGAGAGUGUAAUAGUCUUCUUGUUCAUGCCCGAAACCUCAUCGAUCCUAAUAUCCUCCACAAUUUCUUCCAAAUGAGCACACCUUGAUAUCUUCAAAGUUUCGAGACUUGUCAACUCUGAGAAUGAAAAAAGAUUAGAGAGUCCACAAUCCUCAACUUCCACAUACGUUAAAGAUGGGACACGACACCCAUAAUUUGCUCCAUGAAUAAUACUUUUCAGCUUGGGUAAAUCCUUUAGAACAACUAUCUCCAGGUGAGAGAGCGUGAUAAUCUUGCUAUUCAUCCCAGACAUUUCAAAAUCCUCCACAAUUUCUUGCAAGAAAGCACAAUCUGAAAUUACUAGUUCUUGGAGUUGUUGUAGACUUCUAAAGCCUGAGAAAGUGAAAAGAGCAGAGCCUCCGGAGUAUCCGAAAACUUUAAGCAUCUUUAGUCUGUGGAACCUUGAAGAUAUGAGCUCAUGCGACCAACACCUACUCAAAAAGAGUGUUUCCAGAUUAUGUAAUCGAGGUUGCCAUGUAGACGGAAGUUGUAUCUCCUCAUCACAACUUAUUCUCAACCUCUUUAGUUGACUGCUGAACUCUAUCGAUUCCAGGUUAAUUUCCUCGCAGUGGCUAAUUACAAGUUCUACUAAGUUUGGGAAUUCAACCUACAGAAUAAAUGUCAUUCAUUUUAUUAGUAGUUGAAAUUCAGCUCUUAUUAAUGGGUUGAUCUCUAUUCAAUGCCAUCAUAACUCAUGUGAGUGAUACAAACAUUAGUAAUAUCUUUUUUCUCACAAGUACAGAUAAAUAUGAAAAAUAUGAACUAAAAUUAGAUAUUAAUAAAAGGUAAAACUAUAGAAAAACAUUUACGUGACAAAAAUGUGUAUAGCUUCCACUACAUGUUUACAAUAUAUAAAAAAUAUCAUGAAAACUAAAUAUCUAAGAAAAAAAUAUAGUCAAUCGAUAAAUAACAUUCAACAAAUAUUAAUACAUUAUCAUAGAAGCUCCAAACAUCAAAAUUUAACACUAAAAUUUACUAAUAUCCUAAUACAAAUUUUAGAAAUGAAAUGCCAAGGCAUAAAACACAGAUGAGGCAUUUUAAUUUCGUAUUUAAAGUUUUGCUAGAGCCUAUAAACGCCUAAAAAUAAGGACUAUAAAGUGCUAAUUACUCAUUAUUAAACAACCAAAAUAUUGAUAAAAAGAGCAAUGCUCGAUAUACAAAAAUAACUCCCAAAAACCCAUGACAUGUUUUAAUUAGUGAAAUUGUUGUGCAUGUCAUUAGAUUUAUAACAGAGUAACCAAUUUUUGUGGUAUUUUUUAAGAGGUGAUCCGGUGAGAUGUUGGUCUUUCAUGUGCGGCCUGCUUCAUCAUGGUGGCUUGGAGGAUAGCUUCAGAGGGGUUCUGGGCUGUAUUGAUUGUCCUGGGGGAGGUGGAAAUUAUUUGGAGGUCCCCCCAUGGUUUUGUAAGGUGGUCGCCUGGAGAAGCCAUCUGUGGUGUAUCACCAGUUUAUUUUGGUGGAGCAUUGUGGGGUUUUUUAAUAGGACUUGCUUUAUUAUUUAUUCAGCUUGUAAUUUUGCUUGGACGUAUUAUUUUUUAUGGUGUUUAGGUGUUGCUGUGUCAAUUUCUUAGAGGGUGUUCUAAGAAAUUUGUGAUUGGUCCUGGGUGUGGUUUUUUCUCCCCAGGUUGUAUAUUUUUGUUUAAUUUAUAAAAUUCACACGAGGUGCCGCCCUCAUUUACCCACAAAAAAAAAAAAACAACUUGACACAUAUUUUUCGGAAAUUUUUUGAAAUAAUUUUUUGAUACUUCUAGCAUUUCUAUAAUAAAAAUAAGUGCUAUUCUAUCGAAUAAAAUAAAAAUUAGAUUAGAAAAGUAAAUUUUGUAGCAUACCAUUCUAUGGAACAGAGGUUGAAACUGAACAGAUGGUUGCAUCAUGGCGUCUUUAUUUUCCCUGCAGAAGCCUGUGAGUCUGGGCACAUUGCUUAGCUCCAAUUCUUCUAAAUUGGAGAAGUGUAUGAUAUCUCCAUUGCUUGAGCCAUCAUGUAUUACUAUUGCUUCCAUCACAGGGCAAUCUCUUAUUAUCAACUUUUGCAGCUGGGUGAGACGUUUUGCAACAGAGUUGCAGAAGAGGUAUCUUAAACCGGAGCAUUCUAUAAUUUCUAAAUAGGUUAGUUUAGAAAAAGAUGUCUGCUGGCUAUGCUGAAUAUCAUUGUGUGGCAUCCUUGCCAGAUGAUCCAUUUUGUUACAUUCUUCAAUUUGCAGAUUUCUCAAUUCUGUGAAUGCUUCCCGGUUGCUCUCGAAGAUACUACUCACAGUAAUAUUGCUGCACUGCAGAUUCACAUAUUCAGCCUUGUCUAUCAGACUUUUCAAGCUUUCUUCAUGACAGCCUUGCAAUACAAUCGACGUCUUGUAAGACAGAUCUGUUUUUCCAACACAUGACCCCCACCCACCCACACGUAUAUUAAAUAAUUUUAGAUUAUCAAAUAUGUUUGUAACUUGAAAAGGCUCAGAUAUUUUAAAUUUUAUCUGCAAACUUUUCAAACGGGUCAGUUGAUUGAUCUCGACCAAAAUGGGUUUCUGAACAUCAGAACUUUCAGAACACCAAAUCUCCAAUCCAUCGGGUAUAUGCAAUUCUUCCAGUCUAGAUAGACUGGAUAUGGUAUUUGGCUUCAUUUUCACUUUCGACCCCUUGAUUUCUAGCUUUCGAAGGUAUUUCAGAUUUGAUAAAUCCAGAGGUUCUGGGAAAUCGCCUUUCCAAAUGCAGAGAGUUUCUAGGUUUUCAGGAAAAAAACCAACACAUGUAUUGUUAAUGUGACUCAGGUUACAACCUUUCAAAAUUAACGUCCUCAGUUUACCUAAGGGUCGAAGAGAGAACUGCAGCUUCGAAGGAGAAUAGGUACCCACAAGAUAUAAAAAUCUCAGAUUCGCAGACAUACCGAAGAAGCCGCUUGAGAAUUGUUGUAUAUCAUUGUUGAAUUGUAUCCACAAGCUUUGCAGAUUUGGGCAUACAAGAUCAUCAGGGAUAUGAAUAUUAUCGCCAUCCAGAUCUAGCCGUAAAAAUUUGGUAGUGACAAAAUCAGCAUCAUCAAGCAGCCGCACGUCACAUGUUACCUGUGAAAAUGCAAAUUUUGAAUCUCUGAAAGCUAUAGAUCUCCCAACAUCUCUGAUGAGGUCAUGCAGUUUGAUUCUAUCAUCUUUUUCACAGUCAAGCAACAAAGAAGAUAAUCUCAGAGUAUCAAUCAUUGAUAGUACCCUAGAGUUCCCACAUACAAGCUGUGACCCUGUUGCCAACUGGAUCAGCUCCCUGAUAGGGAUGUCAGCAUCUUCCGGAAACAAGCAACACAAAAACAGACAUGACUUGGCAUCGCCGUGUAAUUUACUGAUACCCAAUUCUACACAAGCAUAUACUUGUGGUUCUACUCCAGGUAUGUUUACGAAUUCACCCUUCUGGAGUUGUUCAAGUGCAUCCACCCAUGAAUUGUGAGUUUCGAACUGCAGCGCUUUACUGAUCGCAUGAAUUAGGAGUGGUAAACCCCCACAUUUAUCACACACUUUCUUUGCAAGAGACUCAUCCUGCAUAUAAUCAAUUUGAGCAGUACCGACAAAAUUCUUAAAUUGCUCCCACGCCUCAUCAUUUCGCAGGGGUGUAAUUUUAACAAGAGUAUUGCAAUUGUUACGCAAGCAUACAUUUUCCUCUCGAGAUGUCAUCAGAAUCUUGGAAACCACAGGACUGUUUCCAUCACCAGAUGGAAUUCCAAUAACAUCUAGAGGAAUUUCCCUCCAUACAUCGUCUAGUAUGACGAGGGUCUUGCCGGCAUUCAAUAAACUUUGUUUCAGCUGAGAAGCUCUGCUUUCCGCAUUAUCUUCCGAUUCAAAUUUGCAAUCAAGAUGCUCAGCAAUCUGUUUCUGUAAGUGUAUCACAUCCAGGUUUUCAUUACCCACGUUCCCUCGUGUGACCUUGUUAAAGAUCUUCUUCUCCUGAGCUUCUUUCCAUAGUUGUUCCAUCAUCCGAGUUUUCCCCACUCCUGGCAUUCCACAUAUACCAAGGAUUGGAGAGCUAUCCGUGAUUAACGUACGCCAUAGCUCCGCAUAAACAUCUUUUCUGGAUUGAAAUUCCUGGUACUCGGUAUUACUUUUGGGUAAAUUUUCAGCUGGCGCAAGAUGUGCGAUUUCAUUAUCCAGGAGCUCCUUUCCGGAAUUAAUGAGCUCAGUUAGCCUCUCUGUCUUCUGCACCACUGCUCUGCCAAGUCGAAAAAGAGAGACGGGGUUGGGAAUUGGUAGACACUGAAUGCACCUCCAUGAAUGUCUGGUUUUGUGUAUUUCUGCAAACUUUUCGGCGCUCUCCAUGAUUUCUUCAGCCUCUUUCUGCCACUUAUCUACAUGAGGCUUGAUAAGUUUACCAUUAGCUCUUUCUGCAGCAACUUUUGUGGACACCCUUUCCUCCUCAGUGUAAGCUUUUUCGACUUGGGAAUCGAGAGUCUUAACAAGAUCCUUGUAACAGAACAUGUAACGGAAUCCACGGAAGAAGGCGUCAACUGCAGCAUCAGAUAUUCUGUCCACAAGUUUCCCCACACAUGGAAUAUCAGAUAAACCAACCAUGAUUCUUUCUUGGAAUUGUGAGAGAAAAGGAAAGAAGAGAAGAGAGAAGGAUAGCAAAAGAAAAGGAAAAUCUUGAGAUGGAUGAUUAAUCCACAGACCACAGGCAUAAUUAACUCAUAAUAUAUAAUUAUCUGAUUUAAGUUUUUCAAGGUUUUGGCCAUAAGUGCAUGUUAGAUCCACUCUCCGAGGACUAGCAGAUGCUUACAAUUUUAAACUAAUCUUAAAUACUCCAUAAUUUAGUUUACCACAGCCUCGACAGCUUAAACAAUUGAAGCUGAAGAUGCAGGCCUGAGCACAAUACUACUUUUUAAAUGGAAAGGAGACGACUCUUGUCAUCAACGGGCGUCCACCCUUGACCCUGAUUGAACAAUCCUACCCACUCUAAACUACUUUGGAAUCUUUAUUUUACUGCCCCGGAGUUUAACAAGACAUGGGACGCGUAGCUAUGGACUAUGUUCUGCAUAAGCGAGCACAAUAUAAUACUCCCUUCGUACUACAAUAUAUGUCACUUUUGAGAAAAAAAAAUUGUUCCAUAAUACUUAUCCACUUUUAGUUUCCAAUACAAAUAUAUUGACAUUAUUUCAAAUUUACCUUUCUUGAAAGUUGUAUAAUAAUUAAUAAGAGUCUACAUUUAUACAUUUAUCAGGGGUGCAAGUGAGAAAAUAUUAUCUAUUUAAUGUUUCUUUAAUAUGCGUAAUUUUUUCAAAAGAGACAUAUACUACAUUUAUCAGGGUGCAAGUGAGAAAAUAUUAUCUAUUUAAUGUUUCUUUAAUAUGCGUAAUUUUUUCAAAAGAGACAUAUACUGUGGGACGGAGGAAGUAAAAUUAUAAUUCAGUACCCACAUGCUUCUCCAGUUCUCCUCAUGAAUGGCAUUCACACAUUUAUUAAAUGGAUCAAAUUGAUGCAAGUCUCUUGAUUUAUUAAAGUGAUGAGUAACAUACCUACACACUUGAGCUUUGUUUCAUCCACCCAUCUCGCCACCACCAGCUCUUCCCGUUGAUUCUUUCUCCAAUCUCAGUACAGUUGUAAACUUAAGCUUCAAUUACAGCAGUUCAGUAACAACUCGCCAUGUCUCUUUCAGUAGCAGCAGCAGACAGUUGAAAAAAAUAAAAUCAGAUCCUGAGACUGCAAAAUCUCAUGUCUCUUUCAUAACAACAAAAUCUUAUCAAUUAGUACUUAUAAGGCCCAUGAGCCCAAGUCAGGCCCAAUUCAAGCCCAUCACAAACGCUUAACCGGGUCGUUUCAAAUAACACAAAUACACACUACAGCUCUCUUUUUCUCCUCAUUUUCUCGGCUAGGUUUUCAAGAAAGGCCCAUUUUUCCGGCGAACCACUCCGGCGGAGCUUCAAAAAUUGGUACUUUUUAACAUUUUUAGCAACCCCUUUUGUUUAAUUAAAAAAUGCAUAGCAGCCGCCAGCCUUCAUUGGUAUCUUUUAGUGAGGAUAAAAAUAUUAGGCCUAGAUUGGAUGUAUUUGCUUCAUAUGGGUUUUGGUGAGGAUAAAAAUAUUAGGCCUUGAACAAUUUUAUAGUACCAAUGGAGAAUCGGUUUAAAGAUAAGUACGUGGAUGAAUAUUGUUUGAAAUAUCCGCAAGUACUCAAGUUGUAUAAAAGGACAGUGGAAGCGUAGGUGACAUCAGUGUCUAUUAGAUUGCUUAUUGAGCAUUGAUGAAUGGAUCAGGGCCAUUAAGAUUCGGUUUUCUGCUACCCAAAGAGUUUAAAAAGUCGGACAACAUUAGGAUUACAAACAAAGGGUCUUGACUUUUUUGUCUGAUUUACAGUAAAGGCUCGUUUGUGUGCACCACAGAAUUAGAGAAUUGUCUAUAAUUUGCAUAUCUUGUACCUGUAUUGAAAUGACCUUUUAGUGACCACUUAUCAAUUGAAGGUUAGCAGGCUUAGGUUGCCCAAUAUUGUUAAUUUCAUGGUUGCAUCUAUCGUACUUGUACAAUUUGUUUUGUUUGUUAUCUGUAUCUGGAUGUUAUUAGAACUUAAGUUUUAUGAAACUUGUUCUACAUGCAAUGCUAUCACUCUUCCUGCGUAGUUGUCACUCAUUCAAGGUUGCAACAAUUUGUUUGCGUCUCAGAUAUAAUUUUGUAAAUGUUUGCUAAAACAACUGCAGUAGUUACUCUGCUGUGUUGAACCUCGGCAAUACAUUCUUCACGACAGGUAUUGGUUAGGGUUAAUAAUCAAGUGAGUCAUCAAAGUGGGUUGUAUAUAUCAAGUUGGUCACUGAACUCAAAACGAUCUCAAAUUGGUCACUUAAGUUAGGUACAUAUAUCACUAAAUACGAGUUCAAGGAGUAAAUAUAUUAUUUAUAGAGUUUUACACAUUAUUCUUGAAUGUUACCACAACUAAGUACAAGAUUAUGACUUAUAAUAUUUAUCAUAAUGUACUUCUGAAUUUAUCAAGUUUCUUUACUAUUUAUUUUUAAUUAAAACAAAGAAAUAACUAUAUAAUAAAAAAUAAAAAAUAAAUAAACUUGAUAAAAUUUUAAUAUAUUAUCAUAAAUACUAG